AGAGUUUGAUCCUGGCUCAGGAUAAACGCUGGCGGCGUGCCUAAUACAUGCAAGUCGAUCGCUGGAAUCAAGCUUGCUUGAAUGAAGGAGAGGCGAACGGGUGAGUAAUACAUAAGCAACCUGCCCACGAAGACUGGGAUAAUCCCUGGAAACGGGGACUAAUACCGGAUAGGUAACAUAUUCGCAUGAAGAUGUUAUUAAAGAUUAGAAGCACUGGUGGAUGGGCUUAUGGCGCAUUAGUUAGUUGGUGAGGUAACGGCCCACCAAGACGAUGAUGCGUAGCCGGCCUGAGAGGGUGAACGGCCACAUUGGGACUGAGACACGGCCCAGACUCCUACGGGAGGCAGCAGUAGGGAAUUUUCGGCAAUGGGCGCAAGCCUGACCGAGCAACGCCCGCGUGAGUGAUGACGGCCUUCGGGUUGUAAAGCUCUGUUGUAAGGGAAGAAAACCCCGGAUAGGAUCCGGGACUGACGGUACCUUACCAGAAAGCCACGGCUAACUACGUGCCAGCCGCUGC
rnacentral:rRNA from 1 species